UCGCAUGAGAUACACCCGAAACCACGUGAGUUAAGUCUCAAAUCUGUUGUUUCUAACGGUAAAAAACACAAAAAAUGACUAAUAUACUCUUAAUGGACCCCUCCUAUAUUUAUCCCCAAUUUUCAAAUCAAAUUUUCUCCUUAUUCUCUUCUUCUUAUUGCUCUAACAACCAUUUCUUCACCUUCUUCACGAUUUUCUGCCCAUUUGUAAAUGGAGAUGGCAUCUCGUUUUUUCUAUCAUUGUGGAAAAAAAGCUAUAAUGAAAAUUUCUUGGUCCAUAAACAACCUAGGUCGUUGGUUUCUUGGAUUUGAAGAUGGUUGGGUGGUGUGAAGUGGAUUAUCCUGAACACGCUAGAAUUGCUAUUUCGGGAUUACAAAAGAGGAUCAAAAAAUAAGAUGAAGAUUAGGA